CCUACGGGAGGCUGCAGUAGGGAAUAUUGCUCAAUGGGGGAAACCCUGAAGCAGCAAUGCCGCGUGGAGGAUGAAGGUUUUCGGAUUGUAAAACCCUGUUGUUAGAGAAGAAAGUGCGUGAGAGUAACUGUUCACGUUUCGACGGUAUCUAACCAGAAAGCCACGGCUAACUACGUGCCAGCAGCCGCGGUAAUACGUAGGUGGCAAGCGUUAUCCGGAUUUAUUGGGCGUAAAGGGAACGCAGGCGGUCUUUUAAGUCUGAUGUGAAAGCCUUCGGCUUAACCGGAGUAGUGCAUUGGAAACUGGGAGACUUGAGUGCAGAAGAGGAGAGUGGAACUCCAUGUGUAGCGGUGAAAUGCGUAGAUAUAUGGAAGAACACCAGUGGCGAAAGCGGCUCUCUGGUCUGUAACUGACGCUGAGGUUCGAAAGCGUGGGUAGCAAACAGGAUUAGAUACCCCUGUAGUC
rnacentral:rRNA from 1 species